GACGAACGCUGGCGGCGUGCUUAACACAUGCAAGUCGAACGGUGAGGCGGAGCUUGCUCCGCGGAUCAGUGGCGAACGGGUGAGUAACACGUGAGUAACCUGCCCUUGACUCUGGGAUAAGCGUUGGAAACGACGUCUAAUACCGGAUACGACCUUCGGAGGCAUCUUCGGUGGUGGAAAGAAUUUUGGUUGAGGAUGGACUCGCGGCCUAUCAGCUUGUUGGUGAGGUAAUGGCUCACCAAGGCGACGACGGGUAGCCGGCCUGAGAGGGUGACCGGCCACACUGGGACUGAGACACGGCCCAGACUCCUACGGGAGGCUG
rnacentral:rRNA from 1 species